ACCGGUCUCCGGUAGUGGCCUCCGGGCGGCCCGGCUCGACAGCCGGCCCGUCCGGGCGCUUCGAUCGAAGACCGGC
rfam:Micromonospora rosaria strain DSM 803 contig043, whole genome shotgun sequence.